rnacentral:rRNA from 1 species
AAAGGUAAGCUACUAAGAGCGAAUGGUGGAUGCCUUGACUGGUAAAGGCGAUGAAGGACGUACUAGACUGCGAUAAGCUACGGGGAGCUGUCAAGAAGCUUUGAUCCGUAGAUUUCCGAAUGGGGCAACCCAAUGUAUAGAGAUAUACAUUACCUAUAUAGGAGCGAACG